UCCCUGGUAGUAUAUCGGUUAGUACACGCGCCUGUCAUUGCUCCAUCAUGUGAGAGUAAGGAGUGCGCGCGAAAGCGGGGUUCGACUCCCCGCCAGGGAG
rnacentral:tRNA from 1 species